UACAGAGGGGGCAAGCGUUAUUCGGAUUUAUUGGGCGUAAAGGGCGCGUAGGCGGCCUUGCAAGUGACGGGUGAAAUCCCUCGGCUUAACCGAGGAACUGCCUGUCAGACUGCAUGGCUUGAGACCGGGAGAGGUGAGUGGAAUUCCCAGUGUAGCGGUGAAAUGCGUAGAUAUUGGGAGGAACACCAGUGGCGAAGGCGGCUCACUGGGACGGUACUGACGCUGAGACGCGAAAGCGUGGGGAGCGAACAGG
rnacentral:rRNA from 1 species